ACAAGCUAGGAAUUUAAUAAAAUGUUUGAAGUCUAAACAGUUUUGACAUGAAACUAGAAAGGUUCUUACUCAUAGUCGGUCUAUUGGCCACUCUGAAACCUUUUGUUAAGUGCUAUGAUAGAGUAAGAUGUGACGGCCCAAGUCCGGUUGAUGGAAAUUGCAGCGGAAAGCGUCGAAUAGCGUAUACCUAUCAUACGAAAGUUUGCUGGCAAUUAUGGUAUACUGGAUGCACCAAAUACGGGAGUAAAAAUUUAUUCAGAUCACAUGGAGAAUGCAAAAGGGCUUGCUAUCACUGAGAUAUGUUAAGAAAAUUAAAAGUUUUAUGUAACAUUUUUUCAUUUUCAUUUACUUUGCCCUCAGUUAUCCGAGGGUUUCUAUUCGAUGGAUGCCCUUCUCACCAGGGAAAGUCUCUCCCAGCUCUAAUUGGAACCCCAUUGGCUUAGAGGCCCUGUAAUAUGGUUGUUCUAUAAAAUCCCCCCGUCCCCUGAUAGAGUCAUAAAGUCAAUUAAUCGCCUAAA